rnacentral:rRNA from 1 species
UACGUAGGGGGCUAGCGUUGUCCGGAUUUAUUGGGCGUAAAGAGCGUGUAGGCGGCCAUGUAGGUCCGGUGUGAAAACUCGAGGCUUAACCUCGAGAUGUCAUCGGAAACCAUUUGGCUAGAGUCCGGAAGAGGAAAGUGGAAUUCCUGGUGUAGCGGUGAAAUGCGCAGAUAUCAGGAAGAACACCCGUGGCGAAGGCGGCUUUCUGGGACGGUACUGACGCUGAGACGCGAAAGCGUGGGGAGCGAACAGG